CUGGACCCGAAGUUAUGCUGC
rnacentral:misc_RNA from 1 species